rnacentral:tRNA from 1 species
GAGGGUAUAACUCAGUGGGAGAGUGCAUGCUUAGCAUGCAGGAGGUCUUGGGUUCAAUCCACAGUACCUCUA